AACGGUUCAGUUCUCCAUUUCCAUAGACGUAAAUCCGAAAGUCCUUCUUCUUCCCCAACUGAACUUCACCACUUUGCUUAUCCUUCACUGUCGGAUCAGCCCCUUUCCCAUCAAUACAAGAUUCCUACAGUGUACAUAAAAUCCAAUAUUCUCAAAGCAAUAAUCUGUACAGGAGCACCAUUUUGCUUUACAGCAGUUCCUACUUUACAAUUUUUUCAAAUUUUGCUUCUAGUUUUCUAGUACAACAAGAAGAAGAACGAACUGGAGUCACUACAAGAAACCCAGUCCAAGAAACCACCGGGUAACGGUCAGAUCCGAUACCGAUCACCAUCAGCAGCAGAACUAUUAGAGCAUAUGCAACAGGAAGACCCAAUUCAAAUGGAGCAUGAGAAAAUGUUGAAACGUAACAGGCAACAACAUGGGGAUUCGAUUUCUGAUAAGAUCCAUAGAUAUCGUGGAGUGAUUUUAGUGAUUUCGGUUCCUAUGUUGCUUAUUUGUUUUGUGCUUUUUGUAAUGCCCACCAAUUACUCUGACUCAAUGGGGUCAGUUAAUAGGAAGUUUUCACCCAAGUUUGGAUCUAGAAAUUAUGCAGUUAUAUUUGAUGCCGGUAGUUCUGGUAGUAGGGUUCAUGUUUUCUGUUUUGAUCAGCAUUUGGAUCUUGUUCCCAUUGGCA
rnacentral:misc_RNA from 1 species